rnacentral:rRNA from 1 species
AACGAACGCUGGCGGCAUGCCUAACACAUGCAAGUCGAACGAAGUCUUCGGACUUAGUGGCGGACGGGUGAGUAACACGUGGGAACGUGCCUUUAGGUUCGGAAUAACUCAGGGAAACUUGUGCUAAUACCGAAUGUGCCCUUCGGGGGAAAGAUUUAUCGCCUUUAGAGCGGCCCGCGUCUGAUUAGCUAGUUGGUGAGGUAAAGGCUCACCAAGGCCACGAUCAGUAGCUGGUCUGAGAGGAUGACCAGCCACAUUGGGACUGAGACACGGCCCAACCUCAGACGGGAGGCAGCGGUGGGGAAUCUGGCGCAAUGGGCGAAAGCCUGACGCAGCCAUGCCGCGUGGAUGAUGAAGGUCUUAGGAUUGUAAAAUCCUUUCACCGGUGAAGAUAAUGACUGUAGCCGGAGAAGAAGCCCCGGCUAACUUCGUGCCAGCAGCCGCCGUAAUAC